UUUGCCUCGGCAAGUCCUGUACAACCAGCUCCCUUUGAAUCCCCCAGGGUGGGAACACAGCAAGGGUAAAAGGUUGUAGCGGUGUGAUACAGGUCGCUUGCCACUUU
rfam:Flavobacteriaceae bacterium TJ101, complete genome.